GUCUCUAGCUCUGUGGUAGAGUGCAUGCCUUAAAUGCGAAAGGUCCCUGGUUCAAUUCCUGGCAUCUCCA